rnacentral:rRNA from 1 species
UGGGGAAUAUUGCACAAUGGGCGAAAGCCUGAUGCAGCGACGCCGCGUGAGGGAUGACGGCCUUCGGGUUGUAAACCUCUUUCAGCAGGGAAGAAGCGAAAGUGACGGUACCUGCAGAAGAAGCGCCGGCUAACUACGUGCCAGCAGCCGCGGUAAUACGUAGGGCGCAAGCGUUGUCCGGAAUUAUUGGGCGUAAAGAGCUCGUAGGCGGUUAGUCGCGUCUGCUGUGAAAACUCGAGGCUCAACCUCGGGCUUGCAGUGGGUACGGGCUGACUAGAGUGCGGUAGGGGUGACUGGAAUUCCUGGUGUAGCGGUGGAAUGCGCAGAUAUCAGGAGGAACACCGAUGGCGAAGGCAGGUCACUGGGCCGCAACUGACGCUGAGGAGCGAAAGCAUGGGGAGCGAACAGGAUUAGAUACCCUGGUAGUCCAUGCCGUAAACGUUGGGCACUAGGUGUGGGGUCCAUUCCACGGAUUCCGUGCCGCAGCAAACGCAUUAAGUGCCCCGCCUGGGGGAGUACGGCCGCAAGGCUAAAACUCAAAGGAAUUGAC